GUGCCAGCAGCCGCGGUAAUACGUAGGUGGCGAGCGUUGUCCGGAUUUACUGGGCGUAAAGAGCGCGCAGGCGGUCGUACAAGUCGCGUGUGAAAGCCCCCGGCUCAACUGGGGAGGGUCACGCGAUACUGUUCGACUCGAAGGCAGGAGAGGGAAGUGGAAUUCCCGGUGUAGUGGUGAAAUGCGUAGAUAUCGGGAGGAACACCAGUGGCGAAGGCGACUUCCUGGCCUGUUCUUGACGCUGAGGCGCGAAAGCUAGGGUAGCAAACGGGAUUAGAAACCCCCGUAGUCC
rnacentral:rRNA from 1 species